CCCUCUUCCCAAACCAUGCCAAAAGAGACAACUGAAGGGAGAUAGAACAAAGACCAACAGCGAACAGAGAGAGAGAGAGAGCAAGUAGACGAGAGAGAAGAAAAACCACCGGCGACGAAGAAGAGAGAAGACGAGCUGCGGCGGCGGCGGCCAUUGCGACCAGCAACGAAUGAAGACCAACAGUUGUGUCACCUCUCUCUGACGCCAGAGCUCUUGCACCUCUCCCUCCCACCGUCCAGAUUCAGUUGUAGCUUUCAAUUUAGUGAUGACCUCUUUAUUCAGUCAACUUGUUCUUCCCUCAAAUAAUGGUUACAAGGUGUGGGAAGAUCCAUCCUUUUUCAAAUGGAGGAAGAGAGAUGCUCAUGUUUUGCUGCACUGCCAUGAUACAAUUGAAGGUGACACACCAUUUUCUGCAUCAUUGUUGGUACUUACAUUUUGAAAUCAACAAUGCUAGGGAUCCCUAAUAUUCUACACAAUAUUCUACACGUGUAGAUAGUUGGGACACUAAGCAUUUCUCUUGUAAAAUGGACCGAGGAAGAAUUCCUAGUGUUUUGUCAUAAUUUUUGAUUAUUGUCAAAGUUGACUAGGAUGUUUAAACAAUAAUAAUGAGAUUUCAAUCGCACAAUUGUUAUUUUUGUUA